rnacentral:rRNA from 1 species
GAUGAACGCUAGCGGCAGGCUUAAUACAUGCAAGUCGAGGGGGCAGCAAUGUCACCGGCGGACGGGUGCGUAACGCGUAUGAAACCUACCUUUAUCAGGGGGAUAGCCCGGGGAAAACCCGGAUUAAUACCGCAUAAUAUAUUGAAUGGCAUCAUUUGAUAUUGAAAGAUUUAUUGGAUAGAGAUGGUCAUGCGUAGGAU